GACGAACGCUGGCGGCGUGCUUAACACAUGCAAGUCGAACGGAAAGGCCCUGCUUUUGUGGGGUGCUCGAGUGGCGAACGGGUGAGUAACACGUGAGUAACCUGCCCUUGACUUUGGGAUAACUUCAGGAAACUGGGGCUAAUACCGGAUAGGAGCUCCUGCUGCAUGGUGGGGGUUGGAAAGUUUCGGCGGUUGGGGAUGGACUCGCGGCUUAUCAGUUUGUUGGUGGGGUAGUGGCUUACCAAGGCCUUGACGGGUAGCCGGCCUGAGAGGGUGACCGGCCACAUUGGGACUGAGAUACGGCCCAGACUCCUACGGGAGGCAGCAGUGGGGAAUAUUGCACAAUGGGCGGAAGCCUGAUGCAGCAACGCCGCGUGCGGGAUGACGGCCUUCGGGUUGUAAACCGCUUUCGCCUGUGACGAAGCGUGAGUGACGGUAAUGGGUAAAGAAGCACCGGCUAACUACGUG
rnacentral:rRNA from 1 species